GUGAUGCACAGAAGUUACUCCUGGAAUUACUUCUGGCAGUGCUCGGGGACCAUAUGGGAUGCUGGGAAUCAAACCCAGGUCAGCUGCAUGCAAGGCUGCCGGCUGCUAUUUGUUGAGUGAAGGAACUUGGAAGCAUUUUACUACAAGUCAGUCACCAUAGAAGCUUUUCAACAGCAAGCAGUCACUAGCAAUUUUGGACCAUCCCGAUGCUCUUCAGCUAAGGGGGUCUUCAAUCUUGUUACCACUUGCUGGUCAAUGAGUCACCUUUAGCCACUCAACAGUGUCCCUUCUGCACCUCUACUCAGCUGCCAAGUUUCAUGGAUUCCUCACGCUGCCUGGCUGUCUGUGGCUGAGGCUGCUGCCUUUGACUGGGUCACAGUGCCCCACGUAUGGAGACGUUACUGAGACUGCUCAAGAAAUUCGAUGAUCAACGGGAUGAUGAUGAUGAUGAUGAUGAUGAUGAUGAUGAUGAUGAUGGUGAUUUUGACUACCCAGGUUUGAUCCUUGACACCCCAUAUAGUUCCUG